rnacentral:rRNA from 1 species
GACGAACGCUGGCGGCGUGCCUAAUACAUGCAAGUCGAGCGGAGCGGCGAACGAGUGAGUAACGCGUGAGUAACUGCCCCCCUCUCUGGGAUAACAGUUGGGAACGGCUACUAAUACCGGAUAGUGGGGGAUGACUCGCGUCCUAUAAGCUUGUGGGUGGGGUAUGGGCCUACCAGGGCGACGAAGGGUGGCCGGCCUGGGAGGGCGACCGGCCACAUGGGGCUGAGUGACGGACCAAACUCGUACGGGAGGCAGCAGUGGGAAAUAUGGCACAAUGGGGGAACCCCUGAUGCAGCAACGCCGCGUGCGGGAUGACGGCCUUCGGGUUGUAAACCGCGUUCAGCCAUGACGCGGUAUUGGCAGAAGAAGCACCGGCUAACUACGUGCCAGCAGCCGCGGUAAUAC